UACGGGGGGAGCAAGCGUUGUUCGGAUUUACUGGGCGUAAAGGGCGCGUAGGCGGCCACCGCAAGUCGACUGUGAAAUCUCCGGGCUUAACUCGGAAAGGUCAGCCGAUACUGCGGGGCUAGAGUGCAGAAGGGGCAACUGGAAUUCUCGGUGUAGCGGUGAAAUGCGUAGAUAUCGAGAGGAACACCUGCGGCGAAGGCGGGUUGCUGGGACGUUACUGACGCUGAGACGCGAAAGCGUGGGGAGCAAACAGG
rnacentral:rRNA from 1 species